rnacentral:ncRNA from 2 species
AACUCAUCAAGAGAGAUGGAGGGACUGGCCCUAUGAAAUCCGGCAACCUGACUUGCAAGUCGAGGUGCUAAAUCCAGCGGUAUAGCCGAUAGAUGAGAA